GCGCCUGUAGCUCAGUUGGAUAGAGCGGCCGCCUCCUAAGCGGCAGGUCACACGUUCGAAUCGUGUCAGGCGCA
rnacentral:tRNA from 1 species